UUUCUCUCUCGGUUGCGCCGAAGCCAAUGAAAGAAGAUGUAAGAGGUUCUCUCCUUUUGCUCUUCAUUUUCUAGCCUAAUCUAUGAUUCUUUUGUGCAUGAAUCCAACAUGAAUAACGUAGAUCCAUUCUUGGUCUUUAAUUCAAGCCUAGUUUUCUUAAGAGAAAUAAAAAAUCCUCUUCCUUGUUUUCUAACAAAACCGUGAGCGCCCU
rnacentral:lncRNA from 1 species